ensembl:lncRNA
GGGAAAGAGAGGUGGGGGAGAAAGAGGUGAGAACGGGGAAAGAGAGAUGGGGGAGAAAGAGAGAGACAGAGAAUGAGAGGUGGGGGGAGAAAGAGGUGAGAACGGGGAAAGAGAGAUGGGGAGAAAGAGGUGAGAUCAGGGAAAAAGAGGUGGGGGAGAAAGAGGUGAGAUCGGGUAAAGAGAGAUGCGGGAGAAAGAGGUGAGAAUGGGGAAAGAGAGAUAGGGAGAAAAAGGUGAGAACGAGGAAAGAGAGUUGGGGGAGAAAGAGGUGAGAUCGGGGAAAGAGAGAUGGGGAGAAAGAGGUGAGAACGAGGAAAGAGAGAUGGGGAGAAAGAGGUGAGAUCGGGGAAAGAGAGGUGGGUUGAGAAAGAGGUGAGAACGGGGAAAGAGAGAUGGGGAGAAAGAGGUGAGAUCGGGGAAAGAGAGGUGGGUUGAGAAAGAGGUGAGAACGGGGAAAUAGAGGUUGGGAGCUAGCGGUGAGAACGGGGAAAGAGAGAUGGGGGAGAAAGAGGUGAGAACGGGGAAAAGAGAGAUGGGGAG